rnacentral:rRNA from 1 species
GUAGGGCGCAAGCGUUGUCCGGAAUUAUUGGGAGUAAAGAGCUCGUAGGCGGUACUGUCGCGUCGGCUGCGACAACUCGGGGCUCAACCCCGAGCCUGCAGUCGAUACGGGCAGACUAGAGUGCGGUAGGGGAGACUGGAAUUCCUGGUGUAGCGGUGAAAUGCGCAGAUAUCAGGAGGAACACCGGUGGCGAAGGCGGGUCUCAGGGCCGUAACUGACGCUGAGGAGCGAAAGCGUGGGGAGCAAACAGGAUUAGAUACCCUGGUAGUUCACGCCGUAAACGGUGGGUGCUAGGUGUAGGCGGUAUUCCACCCCGUCUGUGCCGCAGCUAACGCAUUAAGCACCCCGCCUGGGGAGUACGGCCGCAAGGCUA